GGAAUCUUAGACAAUGGGCGCAAGCCUGAUCUAGCCAUGCCGCGUGAGCGAUGAAGGCCUUAGGGUUGUAAAGCUCUUUCACCGGGGAAGAUAAUGACGGUACCCGGAGAAGAAGCCCCGGCUAACUCCGUGCCAGCAGCCGCGGUAAUACGGAGGGGGCUAGCGUUGUUCGGAAUUACUGGGCGUAAAGCGCGCGUAGGCGGCUUUGCAAGUCGGGUGUGAAAUCCCCAGGCUUAACCUGGGAACUGCAUUCGAGACUGCAUUGCUAGAGUAUGGGAGAGGGAAGUGGAAUUUCCGGUGUAGCGGUGAAAUGCGUAGAUAUCGGAAGGAACAUCAGUGGCGAAAGCGACUUCCUGGACCAAUACUGACGCUCAUGUGCGAAAGCGUGGGGAGCAAAC
rnacentral:rRNA from 1 species